rnacentral:rRNA from 1 species
UACGUAGGGUGCGGGCGUUAAUCGGAAUUACUGGGCGUAAAGCGUGCGCAGGCGGUUUGUUAAGCCAGAUGUGAAAGCCCCGGGCUCAACCUGGGAACUGCGUUUGGUACUGGCAAGCUAGAGUACGGCAGAGGGGGGUGGAAUUCCACGUGUAGCAGUGAAAUGCGUAGAGAUGUGGAGGAACACCGAUGGCGAAGGCAGCCCCCUGGGCCGAUACUGACGCUCAGGCACGAAAGCGUGGGGAGCAAACAGG